UUGAACGCUGGCGGCAUGCUUUACACAUGCAAGUCGAACGGCAGCGGGGGCUUCGGCCUGCCGGCGAGUGGCGAACGGGUGAGUAAUGCAUCGGAACGUACCCAGUCGUGGGGGAUAACUACGCGAAAGCGUGGCUAAUACCGCAUACGCCCUGAGGGGGAAAGCGGGGGACCUUCGGGCCUCGCGCGAUUGGAGCGGCUGAUGUCGGAUUAGCUGGUUGGUGGGGUAAAGGCCUACCAAGGCGACGAUCUGUAGCUGGUCUGAGAGGACGACCAGCCACACUGGAACUGAGACACGGUCCAGACUCCUACGGGAGGCAGCAGUGGGGAAUUUUGGACAAUGGGCGCAAGCCUGAUCCAGCCAUACCGCGUGAGUGAAGAAGGCCUUCGGGUUGUAAAGCUCUUUCAGCCGGAAAGAAAACGCAUCCCCUAAUACGGGGUGUGGAUGACGGUACCGGAAGAAGAAGCACCGGCUAACUACGU
rnacentral:rRNA from 1 species